rnacentral:rRNA from 1 species
GAAUUUUUCGCAAUGGGGGAAACCCUGACGAAGCAACGCCGCGUGGAGGAUGAAGGCCUUCGGGUCGUAAACUCCUGUCGACCGGGAAGAAUGCACCUGACCUAAUACGUCGGCGUGUUGACUGUACCGGUCGAGGAAGCCACGGCUAACUCUGUGCCAGCAGCCGCGGUAAUACAGAGGUGGCAAGCGUUGUUCGGAAUUACUGGGCGUAAAGGGCGCGUAGGCGGCCCGUCAAGUCCCGUGUGAAAGCCCCCGGCUCAACCGGGGAACGGCGCGGGAAACUAGCAGGCUUGAGUUCGGGAGAGGGAAGCGGAAUUCCGGGUGUAGCGGUGAAAUGCGCAGAUAUCCGGAGGAACACCGGUGGCGAAGGCGGCUUCCUGGACCGACACUGACGCUGAGGCGCGAAAGCUAGGGGAGCAAACGGG